rnacentral:rRNA from 1 species
UACAGAGGGGGCAAGCGUUGUUCGGAAUUACUGGGCGUAAAGGGCGCGUAGGCGGCCUGCUAAGUCGAACGUGAAAUCCCUGGGCUCAACCCAGGAACUGCGUCCGAUACUGGUUGGCUUGAAUCCGGGAGAGGGAUGUGGAAUUCCAGGUGUAGCGGUGAAAUGCGUAGAUAUCUGGAGGAACACCGGUGGCGAAGGCGACAUCCUGGACCGGUAUUGACGCUGAGG